rnacentral:tRNA from 1 species
GAGGGUAUAGCUCAGGGGUAGAGCAUGUGCCUAGCAUGCAUGCAGUUCUGGGUUCAAUUCCCAGUACCUCCA